AUGAUUAUCCACCACGCUGCAUUUCGGUCCGACUCUCUUUCAACAAACGAAGAACGCCGUUACAGUCACGUACACCACCUAAUUUAGAGGUCCUGGAUGAUGUACUGGUUCUGUCCGCACCACCCUAUGUAGUGGCAUGCGAUCGAGGGCGGUGCUGUUGCCAUACAAAGCAGUGAUGCUUUCCACACUGCCAGGUCAUUGCAGUAGCUAAAAAGGAUUUAGCUGGUAAUUUAUAUAAUCCCUGUCAUUGAGUUGAAAUCAAGGUGUGCUGUUGGAAUGUGAAAAUGGCUCAGCUCAUGAUGAAUAAAUGAAGUCUACUAACUACUAUGCUUUUGAUGUUUUUCUUCCAGUUUAGACUGCAGCAUCAACCUCAUUAAACUGCAUUCUCUCUGUCAAAUUGAGUUAUUUUCCAAUAAGCCCAUUUGCCCUCUAUGUGUUCUGACACCAACACAAAUCCUCACAGUGGUGAUGUCCAUUAACGAAAUGAGCAGGCUACCUCCUGGUCACAUUCCAAACACUUCUAGGUCUUAUCAUUCUUGAUGAGAUUGUUAGAAAGCUUUACACACACUCGCACACACAUUCUGCACAAGGUGUUUCUUUCUGGAGGAGGGAUGGCAGUGCUUUAUGUGGGCCUCUGUGGGCACUUAUCUUUCAUAUCAUCGAGAAAGAAUCUUUCAAAUAAAAAGUAUACACUUACUGUAGCCGGUUUGCACAGAUCCAUACAGUUGUGUCCCUAAAACCGACGAACUACACUUUCACUACAAUUCCUCCCCAGUUACACUUACACAAAGGUGUUCGAGCACGCUAGAUAGCUAAUUAGCACAGGUGGUCGCCUCUGUUUCCUCUGUCUUCCGUAAACAAACACUGUAAAAUGGAGAUAUGGCUGUGUGGGAACACUAACCCCAACCUUAUAAAGGUGUGUAGUAAUUUAACCUUUUUAUUAUUAUUAUUACUUGCUGAUAUGAAAAAUAUGUUCCUUAUGUUUCCAAAACUGUACCGCAAGAGAUAAGUGUUAACAGAACUUACCAGGCCAGAAGAUACCUUCACUCGUAGAGGCUAAAGGUGGUUAGCAUCUAUGAAUGGGUUACACUGGCCCCAUUGUCCUAUUCAAGUGCAAUCAGUGUGCCCUGUCUAUUACAGGCACAGUUCAUAUUGAAAGUAGGCUAACCUUACAGUAUGUACUGACUACGUCCACAGGCUGUGUAUUGAUCAUUGGCACACAACUAAGCCUUUUUACUGGUGUGAAUGUGUGUGUGUAUCUGGGUGUGUGUUUGUGUUCUGGCUUUUUUUGUACUCUCCCUGAUCUUUAUCAGAGAUCCAAUGGGUAAAAGUUAUUAAAGUGUUGUUCUUUUCCCCACUGACUAACCCUCACCCUCCCCUCCCUGCGAACUGCACCACUCAUCACAGACAGCAGGCAGCAAUUAGCUGUGAGCACAGUGGAGAUGGAACCCAGGGGUUCAAGUCCUCUCUGUUUUUCCACUGCAACAAAGAGGGCUGUUCAGCUAGCCUAACUCAGAAGUUGAAUUACUCUGCCUAAUGGUUUUGAGAGCAGAGAACCAAGAAUGGGCACGACUCGGCUUGCUGUUUAGACAUGGUUGAAUUCUCAUUUCCAUUUCCUCUAUGGUGACAUUUGGUCUCCACUCAAAAUGAUUUCCAGAUUAUGCAGGGUCAGACUACGAGCAGAUAUAUAUGUGCCAUUGCAGUUGGGCUAGAUCAUAUUUUGCUAUGGUGAUUGAAUAAACAUUUAAUCAACCCUCGUUAUAUGGAUUUAAUCACAUUUUCUAUGAUUUUAUUAGUCCUACACCAUUGAACAUCGAAAGAAAAUGUUUUCCGUGAGCGGGUGAAUAGCCUACAUCCCUUGUGUCCUGGGGGUUGGAAAAAAUCAUGAUGACUUUAUCACUUUUCACCUCUCAUCCUCUGGGGACCAUAAAGGUGUGUGUGCUCUAGCAUGUUCCUGCCGACACGUGUGUGUGUGUGUGUGUGUGUGUGUGUGUGUGUGUGUGUGUGUGUGUGUGUGUGUGUGUGUGUGUGUGUGUGUGUGUGCGUGCGUGCGUGCGUGCGUGCGUGUGUGCGUGUGUGUGUGUGUGUGUGUGUGUGUGUGUGUGUGUGUGUGUGUGUGUGUGUGUGUGUGUGUGUGUGUUAUGGGGGAGAGCAGUAACAGGGGAGGCGUAAUUGUGACAAUUGUGCUGAGCCAGCGUGUUCCUCACCUCUUCCGUGCUUCAUAUUUUCCAUUGCUAAAGAACAACAACCCUUAAACCCCCAUCCAAGCUCUGUAUGACACACACACCUGAGUUGUUAUUCCAUCAACCACUUUGAAUGCUGCUUACCGGGAGACCUGCCGUGUAAUGGUACUGCUGUUGCUAAGCGUGGUGGUAAUUACGUGAGGGGGAUGGAACCGGGAGACUUGUGCGAUUACAGCGGUAAUGGAGGUGGAGGAGUGUGAACCACAGUUCAAAACACCUGCUUGGUAGAGCAGAACUCCCUGUAGCCGAGCUCAGGUUCACUCAAGACCAAGCAAUAAAGACUAACAGCAAGAAUAAAGCCAUAUGUUCUACUGAUUUAGUGUUAUGAUUUGUUUUUUCUUCAUAGGCUUAUACUUUUAUCCAAAGCCACAUGCAUAGCAUACGUAGCCAAGAUCCCCAUUUUUAGGGUAAUAGGUGACACUGACAGUAGUUCUGGGAAAGUUUGUCCUACCUGCUGGGUUUAUACUUUUUGUUAGGAUAUGCUCAUUGGUUCAUGCUUGGCAAUACUGAGCUGUUAAGGCCCCAUAAACCUAAAUACGAUACACUCCUCCACUCAGCAACAGAUUUCUAUGAACACUAGUAGACACAAAGGGUCCCUGUGGGGCAAGACUAGAUAUCAUCUGACAUGAUCAUAUGGAGAUCAUAUGAGCUGUCAAAGUCUCUGUACACCUACUGUAAUACAGCAGUAGCUUUGAAAAGAAAAUGGGAUAUAGGCCAAGGCGUGUGACAGUAUUGAGUGGGCCCCAGAUGGCAUCAUUCUCGAAAGCAUGAUCCAACAAAAGACAGCUGUAGGCUGAGUUAUAUGCAAAAAUAUUUAGGCUAUUCAGUGGAAAUGUGAAAUGUUCAGGUCUAAAAAAAGGUUGUCAGGUGAGCUGCAUAAAAUCCAGUCUCCCUGCUCACAGCAUUUUAACAGUAAGAAACUCCUGGCUCCAACCCCUAUUUACAUUCCACAAUAGGAAUGUCUGCCUUGGUUUUUCCACUGUUUGUGUGGAAGUGUUUAGGAAGAUGAACAGAACAGGAGGGUUUACUAGUUAUGAGGACAUUGAUAACUCCAUUUGUCUUACAUUAGGCAACUCCAUGAUUCAUCAAAUCUUUCCUCGUUACUCCUAAGCUUGCAGUUCCAUAUCCGCCGAGAAUUCUAGACAAUUGAUUAGCUUACUUUGGAAGUGUUAAUGUCCUAUGUACAGUAUAUCUGUUUCAUGAUCAGUUUAACUGCUUUUACUGUAGUGAACUAACAAGUUCACUGAUGCAUUAAUAAGAGAGUCCAAAUAUAAAUGUGAAAUCAUCUCUCUCCCUCUCCUCCAGGUAUGGCGGUGUCAGUGCAGGGGCUUUACUUUGUGGUGACCCUGUUUCUGGGCCUUGCUGGAGCUGGUGUUUGGGGUAAUGGUGGUGACUUCAUCCCAGGGGAGCAUAGUGUGAUCAUCAUGAACCACCUGGGCUGGAUGUUCCUGUGGUACUGCCUGCUGAGGUAUAGCUACCUGUGCCUGGAGAAUAUCUACCUCAAGGUGGGUAUAGGCAACAUACGCACACACACACAUAAACAUGUGCGCACACACACCUCAGCAUGGGUUACACAGUGCUUCAUCAAGCGUCAGUGGGAGGAGGACCACAGCCACAAAGAGAACAUGCUGGAAUACUUCUGUAACAUCAGAGAGCCCCUGCAGCUCCUCCUCUUCCCUGACCGGUAACAGCUUUUAGUGACAUCAGCCAACCAGGGCAAUGAUUGCUGAAUAGGACAUGAGCACCCUGCAUCAACCGUUUCCAGCUCUCAUCCCCAAGCCUGUUAACAUCUGUUUUAUACUGUAACUAUGUAUGUUGCAUAUGUGGUCUAUGUGUAUCUCUGUGUAUGUACAUACAAUGUUCUUAAAAUUAGUUUGACUUACAGACCCAGAUAUAUGACACAUUAGGGUCAGCAUCCACAUCAGCAUCUGCACAGACCCCACAAACAGUGGGUUAACUGCCUGUUCAGGGGCAGAACGACAGACUAGUACCUUGUCAGCUCGGGGAUUUGAACUUACAACCUUUCGGUUACGAGUCCAACACUCUAACCUCUAACCACUAGGCUACCCUACCGCCUCUUGUUCUUGUGUACCCCAUUAUCUCUACUUGCAAAUCAUCAUCUGCACAUCCAUCACUCCAGUGUUAAUGCUAAAUUGUAAUUAUUUAGCCUCUAUGGCCUAUUUAUUGCCUACCUCCCUACUCUUCUACAUUUGCACACACUGUACAUCGAUUUUUUUCUAUUGUAUUAUUGACUGUACGUUUGUUUAUAUGUAACUCUGUGCUGUUUGAUUUUGUCGCACUGCUUUGCUUUAUCUUGGCCAGGUCGCAGUUGUAAAUGAGAACCUGUUCUCAACUGGCCAACCUGGUUAAAUAAAGGUGAAAUAAAAAAUGUAAAAUAAAAUGACCCAGGAGCACUGGGCUAAAAGGGAGGUCCGCCUGAGUGACCUCUACACCGCUGAGCCCCUGGGCUUUCCACAGGGAGUGUGCCGCGUGCCCUCCUGUAAGACGGAGCUCCACAUGGCUCUGAUCAAAACAGCCUCUCUGUUCUACUGGAGCUCCUUCAUCACCUAACUUCACAGACCUCUGGCUCUGGGCCUUAUCUGAUUUUAUUUCAUAUCAUUCUUGAACCAGAGUGUCAUAAUAAUAGCCAGAAUACUAUUUCUUAGUUCAGUUAUAGCUAUGUGUUUUAAAUGGAUUGUAUUAUUGUUUUGUAUGUUGUCCAUUGGUUAUGUAUUUAUUUAUUUUAAGUGAUGGAACAGAGCCAUAGUAUACAGCACUCAUACAUUAGAUGUGUGUAUUUUUGCCAUUAUUGUUCUGUGUUUAGCCAAUGUAGAUGAUCCAUUAGUCAAGACAAAUUAAUCACUGUUUCUGCAAGCAAUCAUUAGCCAACAAAAAGUGAUUACCGGUCAAACUAAAUGCUUUCAGUCGAAGUGAUGAGUCAAUCGUGCACUAAAGUGUUUGCUGUAGGGAUCUGAACAGAGUCUAGCACAUUAAGGCUACUGUCAAUCCAUUUACAUUGAGCCUUUAUAGACGAGGUAAGUUGUUUUCAUUGCUUACCUCUCGAUAAACCUGUAAACAUGAUCAUUUUUGUAUACAUGCUGGAAGUAGCUUUUGCACCAGGAAAUCCAAAGGCAAAAAUCAGCCAUGUAAUAUAAAAAGGAAUCAAACGGAAUGUAGUAGUCUGCCAGAACUGGGCAGGGCAGUUCCACCAUGCAUCGCUGCUAAGGUUCUUGUGGAAUGCAGCAACACUUUCAUGCACUCUUUAUUGGAAUGGGCGACUGUUCAGGAAUCGAGAUCUGAGACUGAGCAACUGCAAAGCAGCUUACAAAGAGAGGGUGGAGGGUGGAAGAAUGUAAUUUAGACAACACCCACAACAUCCUAGUGGGACACAGAGGACCAGACUUGGAGUGGAAAGUUGGCCUUGAAGUCGCCCUAAUCCAAAAAAGCCUCAUGCCCACCUCUUUCUCUUCCCAGCAAACUUGCAUCGAUGCUCUCAGCGCGCUAAACUCAAUUAGCGAAUGACAGCUGAGAAAGCUCUACCGAUUAUGACAAAAAAACAAAUCCAACCUUGCCAUAUAUAGAGUUCUGCCAAUCCAGAACCAUUUUUAUGAAGGACACUGUUUGAUCUACCGACCACCUCAAUGCUGCAGGUCAAAUUAUAAUUUUUGUAAGAAAAGAAUGAGUCCUAUGUACAAAUUCAUAGAUGGUUAUCGAUGUGUUUUUGUUUCUUGAAAUACGAGGCCCUGUGGUUCAGGUGUAUGGGCUGGUUCCAGUCACUGUGAUUAGACUGCAUUAACAAUUCUCUCAUCAGGAUGUCAAUGGCUUACCAAAUUACUACUCAUCUCUCUAUUAAUAGAAUCUCUGAAACAGCUGGAAUUUACAUAUUUCACCCAUCUCUCUCCAUCUCUCUCUUAUCUGUUCUCUUUGUUUUCCUUUCUCUAUCUUUCUUGGUUUCUCAAAAUUCUCUAUUUCUCUGUUGGGUUGUCUCUGUGUUUUGUUAUUAUCCAUAAUAUAAUCAACUGUUGAUGCUGGACUCAUUUACAAUCACUGUCCUCAGAUAAAUCUUUACUGGCCAAUGUUGUCAGUUAUCACGCUGUUCAAUAAAUAUAACAUUUCAUCCCAUGCAGA